UUGACUUUCCUUGCAUUCUGUGUGGUUUUUGGCAUUGGAUCUCAUGCAGAAAUGACACAUUUUAUCGGAACUUCUUAUGCAACUUGUCCGCAAGGAUACGAACUUGUUUAUGCAAAAGGCGUUUGUGUUCAGAAGAUAAUUGGCGGCUGCGAAAUGCUUUGCCCUCCGAUUUGCUCCGCCGGAACAAUUUACGACAAAAGUGUGAAUUUAUGUGUGGAUUCCAGGAAGUGAAAUUUGUGUGGAAUUAAUCACAUAAACCAAGGGGGAGAUAAUACGGUUAAACAGUGUACAACACUUCCAAACACUUCCACAAUUCCUCUGCAGAAUCUUCAACACUUCCAGACACUUCUGAACGCCUUUAAAAAUGCAAUUAUUGUCUUGAUUUUCUAGUUUAAUCUUUAGAAAAUGCUUGAAAAAAAUUCUGAAUAAAUUGUGAGGUUAUGAAUUUUGGCUUAAGAAAUACUUCAAGUCUGAAAAUCAAUAAAAAUGGCGAAUAAAUAAGAUCAAGUUUACCACUUAAGAGCACAAAUUACAAUAAUAAUUACACAAAGAGAAUUCUCUGAGACAUCUUUGAGGUUAUGAUUGACUUUUAAGCUGUUUUCUAACCUAACCUUAAGUUUUUCUGAACCCAAAUGCUUAAGUUUGCCAAGAAAAGAGAAGAAUUCUGAGUUUAAACACAAAUUAGAUGAUUUUGAGGGUUAUUUUUAUCACAUAACCUCAAAAUAAAGCGAUCAAAUUGAUUUUUCUAGGCAAAAAUUAUUCUUAAAAAUGCCUCAAUUUGAUGAAACUGAAAUUUUUGCUGUGCAAAUAUUCUUGUACAGUAGAAAUCGCGAAAAUAACCA